GAAGGGCGGGCGGGGAGGAGUCUCAGGCACCAGCGCGGGUUGAGGAUAUUGCGGGUGAAGCAGAGGCGAGCAGAGACGCCUUCAUCCAGCCGCCUGCCCUGCUUUUCCAACCUCCUGCAUCAUUGCCUUCAUCCUAGGCGACGUGGACGCGACAGGGAAGGAGUGUUCCGGAAGGUUGUUGAAUCAGACCUGAACAGUCCAGGUUUCAUGGUGCUGUGUAGAAUCUGUGUUUUGACUUUGGGAGACAUCGGGCCGCUUCAGAAGAACGAAAACAACAACAACGCUCUCUUGAAAGCGGCCCACGUCUACCUCAAGCUGAAUUAUCCAGGCUGGUUUGCACAGAUAAGAAGAUGGAGAGGUGGCUUGUACAGUGACAGAAGAAAAAAAAAAAAAUCAAGGGCUCAUCACUGUACCUUAUAAAAGCACAUGUGUGGAGGGGACACUGUCGCAGUAGAAGAAAUACCGGAGACCACUGAGGUGGUGAGGCUGGCUUUGCCUUAACCUUAGCUGCGCGAACCUGGCAGGCACUCAAACUCUCUGAGCCAACAGUCUGAUAGAUGAACAGGGCGAAUGAAGUUCUCCUGAUGAGGUCAAGUUCAGAAUGGGAAUACAGGUGAAAGUUAUUUCUAAACUACAAAGCUCGACCCAACCAAACCAGGAACCGCCUGGCUCGCGUUGUUCCCUCAGAAUUUUACUGUAGAUCCUCCUUCAAAUUAUGGGGAGAGAGGAUUUGGCAGCUUUUAUUUGCAUUUGUAGCGAUAUACCAAGUUGUUCUGUUGCAUACGUAUUUUGAAUUCUUUCAUUUUAAUUAGAACGUUUCUCUUUUCCAAAA